AACGAACGCUGGCGGCAUGCCUAACACAUGCAAGUCGAACGAGACAUUCGAGUCUAGUGGCGCACGGGUGCGUAACGCGUGGGAAUCUGCCCUUGGAUUCGGAAGAAAGUGUGGAAACGACUGCGAAUACCGGCUGAUGACGUAAGUCCAAAGAUUGAUCGCCCAAGGAUGAGCCCGCGUAGGAUUAGCUAGUUGUUGAGGUAAAUGCUCACCAAGGCGACGAUACUUAGCUGGUCUGAGAGGAUGAUCAGCCACACUGGGACUGAGACACGGCCCAGACUACUACGGGAAGCAGCAGUGGGGAAUACUGGACAGUGGGCGAAAGCCUGAACCAGCAAUGACGGGUGAGUGAUGAAGGCCUUAGGGUUGUAAAGCUAUUUUACCCGGGAUGAUAAUGACAUUACCGGGAGAAUAAGCUCCGGCUAACUCCGUG
rnacentral:rRNA from 1 species